rnacentral:lncRNA from 1 species
AGCAUGAAGCUUUGGGUGGACAUCUACAUAGAAGCCAUAACAGUUUGUUAUCCCAGGUAUAAGAUGAAGAUUCAGAAAUGAAGAUAUUUUAAGACACUUGUCAUGAGGGCCAGGGAUAUAACUCAGCAGCACAAGUGCUUACCUGGUAAGUGCAAGGUCCUGAGUUUGUCUCCCGGUACGUGAAAAGGAAAAAAAGAACCCAGAAAUUUGUCCUGAACAUGAAUGUGGUAAUGAUAGAACCUGCGUUCAAGCACUAGCAGUGAUGCGUAACUGUUUCAUUCCAUGCUUCUGCUGUUAAUAGUGGAACUCAUGAUCUUCAAAGGUGCAGACGUGCUUAUUUAACCUUAGAAAGCAACAGCUAUUCUUAUGAUGCAUUAGUUAUAAAAUUAAUAGAAACAUGACAGAUUUGCUGUAGGCAUUAAUAAUGACAUUGGAUACUUUAAGUUUUUUAUUAGGUAUUUUGCACAUGAUUAUUUUACCUUAAUCUGUAUUUCUCUCACUCACGGAUAGUGUUGACGUGCUGUGUUCAUCCUGUUCUUUAAAGUAGGUCUCGGCGAAUUUUUCUCUGGAAGUCUCUAGUGUGUACAUUGAGGCUUUGUGGACCAUCAUGUUUACAACUCGAGCACAUGAAUAGCCAUAAACAUUACAUUAAAUAUGUGCGAAUAUUUGCCAAUAGAACUUUACUUACAAAUCAGAUCUGCGCUGGGAAGGCCCAGAAGUUAGUGGUGGAAUCUAGGAAGUCUGUGCCAGCAGGAUGAAGGAUCUGUGCUAGCAGGUGGAGGGAUCUGCACUGGAGCCAGGAAGCCACUUGCAAGGUAAGAAUCAGAGCUCCUCUGAAAAGUACCACAGCCAUCCUCAGCAACAGUGAAGUCCCAAGCUCCUCUGAUGAGCAAGAUAGCCGAGUUCCCAUCAGGGAAGCCAACUCCACAAGCUUCUCCAGGAGAGUGGCAGUGCACCAUCUUCCUCUCCAGAGCCAGGAAGUGAUGCUCAGAGUGAGGACCAGAGCUCCCCCAAAGUGAACUGAAGCUAUUCUCAUUGGCCACAAGGUCCGGAGCUCCUUGGAGGAUGAAAAUAGCCCAGUUCAUCAGGAAAGCCAGCAUGACAAGGUCCUCCAACAGAACCUGACAGCUUCUACCAGCUCCCAACAGCCUCUCUCAGCUUGCAAACAGCCUUUUUCUCCUUCUCCAGGUCUGCCUCUUAUGCUGCUGGCAACAGUCCUCAGGGGGGCCUCCCACACCCAGCAGCACACUUACUCAUUUCAGCUGGGGUUAUAAGUUGACCCCCAGUUGUCAAUCUGCUACAGAGCCAGCUGAUUAUGGACUGAAACCUCCACAAACUAUAAGCUAAAUCAACCUUUCC